AUUUCUUCGGAAUGAAGUUUUAGCGACUGAGUGGCGGACGGGUGAGUAACGCGUGGGUAACCUGCCUCACACUGGGGGAUAACAGUCAGAAAUGACUGCUAAUACCGCAUAAGCGCACGGGAUUGCAUGAUCCAGUGUGAAAAACUCCGGUGGUGUGAGAUGGACCCGCGUUGGAUUAGCCAGUUGGCAGGGUAACGGCCUACCAAAGCGACGAUCCAUAGCCGACCUGAGAGGGUGACCGGCCACAUUGGGACUGAGACACGGCCCAAACUCC
rnacentral:rRNA from 1 species